rnacentral:tRNA from 9 species
CGUUAGCUCAGUUGGUAGAGCAACUGACUUUUAAUCAGUGGGUCGCAGGUUCGAAUCCUGCACG